rnacentral:tRNA from 1 species
GGCCCCGUAGCUCAGUUGUAUAGAGCAAUCGCCUCCUAAGCGAUAGGUCGCAGGUUAGAGUCCUGCCGGGGUCGCCA